UAUUAAAAAUUUCAUCUAUUUGCACGGUUAAAAACUGACGUGAUUGAUGGAGUAACUAGACAAUAAUAUAUGGCGUGUCACACAUACGUCAUCUUGAUGUACAAUGACCAAUUUUUAACAACAGAAUUGAUGAAAUUUUUAACA
rfam:Gossypium hirsutum cultivar TM-1 chromosome 12, whole genome shotgun sequence